GAAAUAACAAUGACAUGGUAAGUAAAUAGGCGAUUUUUUUACAGAAAACUCCGAUAGCUGAGAAGGAGGAAAAUAGCUUAUUGAAAAUGGCCAUCGAGUGAUUCAUCUUUAAGUUAAUAUAACAAAAAGAUGACGGGGCAACCGAUAUUUUGCUAAUGUGUACAGAUAUGUACAGAUGAGAAGAAGCUGUUUAUACAGCUUAAUUGAGGUGGUACCGCGCUUUAAGCGUCCUCAAG
rnacentral:ncRNA from 1 species